rnacentral:rRNA from 1 species
CGGCUGGGUCUUGCACAGGUGCUGCAUGGCUGUCGUCAGCUCGUGUCGUGAGAUGUUGGGUUAAGUCCCGCAACGAGCGUAACCCUCACCCUUAGUUGCCAGCGGGUAAUGCCGGGGACUUUAAGGGAACUSCCAGUGGUAAGCUGGARGAAGGUGGGGAUGAUGUCAAGUCAGCAUGGCCCUUAUGGGGUGGGCUACACACGUGCUACAAUGGUGACUACAAUAGGUUGCAAUGNCGCAAGGCUGAGCUAAUCCGUCAAAAGUCAUCUUAGUUCGGAUUGUCCUCUGCAACUCGAGGGCAUGAAGYAGGAAUCGCUAGUAAUCGUGGAUCAGCA